rnacentral:rRNA from 1 species
CNGGUGUAGCGGUGGAAUGCGCAGAUAUCAGGAGGAACACCGAUGGCGAAGGCAGGUNUCUGGGCUGUAACUGACGCUGAGAAGCGAAAGCAUGGGGAGCGAACAGGAUUAGAUACCCUGGUAGUCCAUGCCGUAAACGUUGGGCACUAGGUGUGGGGGACAUUCCACGUUUUCCGCGCCGUAGCUAACGCAUUAAGUGCCCCGCCUGGGGAGUACGGCCGCAAGGCUAAAACUCAAAGAAAUUGACGGGGGCCCGCACAAGCGGCGGAGCAUGCGGAUUAAUUCGAUGCAACGCGAAGAACCUUACCAAGGCUUGACAUAUACUGGACUGCGUCAGAGAUGGCGUUUCCCUUCGGGGCUGGUAUACAGGUGGUGCAUGGUUGUCGUCAGCUCGUGUCGUGAGAUGUUGGGUUAAGUCCCGCAACGAGCGCAACCCUCGUUCUAUGUUGCCAGCACGUGAUGGUGGGGACUCAUAGGAGACUGCCGGGGUUAACUCGGAGGAAGGUGGGGAUGACGUCAAAUCAUCAUGCCCCUUAUGUCUUGGGCUUCACGCAUGCUACAAUGGCCGGUACAGAGGGUUGCGAUACUGUGAGGUGGAGCUAAUCCCUAAAAGCCGGUCUCAGUUCGGAUUGGGGUCUGCAACUCGACCCCAUGAAGUCGGAGUCGCUAGUAAUCGCAGAUCAGCAACGCUGCGGUGAAUACGUUCCCGGGCCUUGUACACA